rnacentral:rRNA from 1 species
UACGUAGGGAGCAAGCGUUGUCCGGAAUCAUUGGGCGUAAAGCGCGCGUAGGUGGCUUCGUAAGUCCGUUGUGAAAGUCAAAGGCUCAACCUUUGAAUGCCGAUGGAUACUGCGGAGCUAGAGUACGGAAGAGGCGAGUGGAAUUCCUGGUGUAGCGGUGGAAUGCGUAGAGAUCCGGAAGAACACCAGUGGCGAAGGCGGCCCGCUGGGCAGUGGCUGACGCUGAGGCGCGACAGCGUGGGGAGCAAACAGG